GAGGGGUAUAGUUCUUCGGAGCUAGAGACCGGCGCACGGGUGCGUAACGCGUAUGCAAUCUACCUUUUACAGAGGGAUAGCCCAGAGAAAUUUGGAUUAAUACCUCAUAGUAUGUGAGAAUCGCAUGGUUUUCACAUUAAAGUUCCAACGGUAAAAGAUGAGCAUGCGUCCCAUUAGCUAGAUGGUAAGGUAACGGCUUACCAUGGCGACGAUGGGUAGGGGUCCUGAGAGGGAGAUCCCCCACACUGGUACUGAGACACGGACCAGACUCCUACGGGAGGCAGCAGUGAGGAAUAUUGGACAAUGGGCGCAAGCCUGAUCCAGCCAUGCCGCGUGCAGGAUGACGGUCCUAUGGACUGUAAACUGCUUUUGUACAGGAAGAAACACUCCCUCGUGAGGGAGCUUGACGGUACUGUAAGAAUAAGGAUCGGCUAACUCCGUGCCAGCAGCCGCGGUAAUACGGAGGAUCCAAGCGUUAUCCGGAAUCAUUGGGUUUAAAGGGUCCGUAGGCGGUUUAAUAAGUCAGUGGUGAAAGCCCAUCGCUCAACGGUGGAACGGCCAUUGAUACUGUUAAACUUGAAUUAUUAGGAAGUAACUAGAAUAUGUAGUGUAGCGGUGAAAUGCUUAGAGAUUACAUGGAAUACCAAUUGCGAAGGCAGGUUACUACUAAUGGAUUGACGCUGAUGGACGAAAGCGUGGGUAGCGAACAGGAUUAGAUACCCUGGUAGUCCACGCCGUAAACGAUGGAUACUAGCUGUUGGGCGCAAGUUCAGUGGCUAAGCGAAAGUGAUAAGUAUCCCACCUGGGGAGUACGU
rnacentral:rRNA from 1 species